GACGAACGCUGGCGGCGUGCUUAACACAUGCAAGUCGAACGGAAAGGCCCUGCUUGCCGGGUACUCGAGUGGCGAACGGGUGAGUAACACGUGGGUGAUCUGCCCUGCACUUCGGGAUAAGCCUGGGAAACUGGGUCUAAUACCGGAUAGGAGCCAUUUUUAGUGUGAUGGUUGGAAAGUUUUUUCGGUGUAGGAUGAGCUCGCGGCCUAUCAGCUUGUUGGUGGGGUAAUGGCCUACCAAGGCGGCGACGGGUAGCCGGCCUGAGAGGGUGGACGGCCACAUUGGGACUGAGGUACGGCCCAGACUCCUACGGGGGGCAGCAGGGGGGAAUAUUGCACAAUGGGCGCAAGCCGGAUGCAGCGACGCCGCGUGGGGGAUGACGGCCUUAGUGUUGUAAACUCCUUUCGCUAGGGACGAAGCUUUUUGUGACGGUACCUAGAUAAGAAGCACCGGCUAACUACGUG
rnacentral:rRNA from 1 species